rnacentral:rRNA from 1 species
UACGAAGGGGGCUAGCGUUGCUCGGAAUUACUGGGCGUAAAGCGCACGUAGGCGGACAUUUAAGUCAGGGGUGAAAUCCCAGAGCUCAACUCUGGAACUGCCUUUGAUACUGGCGAUCUCGAGUCCGGGAGAGGUGAGUGGAACUGCGAGUGUAGAGGUGAAAUUCGUAGAUAUUCGCAAGAACACCAGUGGCGAAGGCGGCUCACUGGCCCGGUACUGACGCUGAGGUGCGAAAGCGUGGGGAGCAAACAGG